rnacentral:rRNA from 1 species
UACGGAGGGUGCAAGCGUUAUCCGGAUUUACUGGGUUUAAAGGGUGCGUAGGCGGGCCUGUAAGUCAGUGGUGAAAUCUUCCCGCUUAACGGGAAAACUGCCAUUGAUACUAUAGGUCUUGAAUUCAGUUGAGGUGGGCGGAAUGUGUCGUGUAGCGGUGAAAUGCUUAGAUAUGACACAGAACACCGAUUGCGAAGGCAGCUCGCUAAACUGACAUUGACGCUGAGCACGAAAGCGUGGGGAGUCAAACAGG